AUCCAGAUGGCGAGUCCCAAAUGGGAUGAAAUCCACGUCCUGGAU
rnacentral:hammerhead_ribozyme from 1 species